GACGAACGCUGGCGGCGUGCUUAACACAUGCAAGUCGAACGGAAAGGCCCUGCUUUUGUGGGGUGCUCGAGUGGCGAACGGGUGAGUAACACGUGAGUAACCUGCCCUUGACUUUGGGAUAACUUCAGGAAACUGGGGCUAAUACCGGAUAGGAGCUCCUGCUGCAUGGUGGGGGUUGGAAAGUUUCGGCGGUUGGGGAUGGACUCGCGGCUUAUCAGCUUGUUGGUGGGGUAGUGGCUUACCAAGGCUUUGACGGGUAGCCGGCCUGAGAGGGUGACCGGCCACAUUGGGCCUGAGAUACGGCCCAGACUCCUACGGGAGGCAGAGGUGGGGAAUAUUGCACAAUGGGCGGAAGCCUGAUGCAGCAACGCCGCGUGCGGGAUGACGGCCUUCGGGUUGUAAACCGCUUUCGCCUGUGACGAAGCGUGAGUGACGGUAAUGGGUAAAGAAGCACCGGCUAACUACGUG
rnacentral:rRNA from 1 species